UAUCAUGUGGUGAUACUAACAUUGGUUUUUCAAAUGAGAACCUAAAGUAAAAAUUGUAGUGAAGUACUAAUAAGACGCCACGCGUCAUGCCCUCCCCCCUCCCACAGAAAUAAUACGCCACCACUCUCCCCUUACAUAGACUUAAAAGUGGAAUAUCUUGUUAACGGGUUGAUAGAAAUUAAAAAUAUUGACACCAAAAUGUAUUUAAAGUUAUACUGCGUUUAUUUAUGGAAUUUUUAAUAUAGGUUCUCAUUUGAAAAACCAAAGUUAGUAUCACAACUGAAUAAUCCUUAAAUGUUGUGAAAAAUUUAAGUACUCGAAAAUAUCGACUUUAACUAUACAUUUAAAAUGUAUCCGAUGAAUUGAUCGCGGCAGCGAAUUGGUCGCCAGUUAAAUUGAUCAAAAAAAAAAAAAAAAUGAAUAUGUAGAUAUUGAUUUAAAUAGGUUCUCUGGUUUAUACUACAC